AAAGAGGAAGACUUCAAAUAAAAGCCUUGCUGACAGAUAAACAUUAGGAAGAACAUAAAAGACAUUAACAACAUGAUUAUAUACUUAUAUCAAUAGGCAUAUAAAGAACUCUACCAAAUUCAAGUCUUUUGAUCACAAACGAAAUAUUUUUUAAAAAGGAAUAUAUGACAGGUCAAAAAGAAACUCUCAUCAAAUUUGAAAUGAUUGAAAUCAUAUGGAAAAUAAGAAAACACCCAUAUAUUAGGAAAUUAAGAAAUAUACUCCUAAAAAAUCUGUAGGCCAAAGAAGAAAUCAUAAUGGAAUUGGAAAUUAAGUCUGAAUGUAAUGCUAACAAAAAAUGUACUUUUAAAACUUG
rnacentral:lncRNA from 10 species